AUUGAACGCUGGCGGCAUGCUUUACACAUGCAAGUAGAACGACAGCACGGGGGCAACCCUGGUGGCGAGUGGCGAACGGGUGAGUAAUACAUCGGAACGUGUCCUGUAGUGGGGGGAUAGCCCGGCGAAAGCCGGAUUAAUACCGCAUACGCUCUACGGAGGAAAGGGGGGGAUCUUAGGACCUCCCGCUACAGGGGCGGCCGAUGGCAGAUUAGCUAGUUGGUGGGGUAAAGGCCUACCAAGGCGACGAUCUGUAGCUGGUCUGAGAGGACGACCAGCCACACUGGGACUGAGACACGGCCCAGACUCCUACGGGAGGCAGCAGUGGGGAAUUUUGGACAAUGGGGGCAACCAUGAUCCAGCAAUGCCGCGUGUGUGAAGAAGGCCUUCGGGUUGUAAAGCACUUUUGUCCGGAAAGAAAACGCCGUGGUUAAUACCCGUGGCGGAUGACGGUACCGGAAGAAUAAGCACCGGCUAACUACGUGCCAGCAGCCGCGGUAAUACGUAGGGUGCAAGCGUUAAUCGGAAUUACUGGGCGUAAAGCGUGCGCAGGCGGUCCGCUAAGACAGAUGUGAAAUCCCCGGGCUUAACCUGGGAACUGCAUUUGUGACUGGCGGGCUAGAGUAUGGCAGAGGGGGGUAGAAUUCCACGUGUAGCAGUGAAAUGCGUAGAGAUGUGGAGGAAUACCGAUGGCGAAGGCAGCCCCCUGGGCCAAUACUGACGCUCAUGCACGAAAGCGUGGGGAGCAAACAGG
rnacentral:rRNA from 1 species